UACGUAGGGUCCAAGCGUUAUCCGGAAUCACUGGGCGUAAAGCGUGCGUAGGUGGUAAUUUGCGUGCAAGUCGCUGAAAGUUAUGGUGGCUCAACCAUACAACGGUACUGCAUACGGGAUUACUAGAGGAACAUGAGAGGCAAGUGGAAUUACUGGUGUAGCAGUGAAAUGCGUAGAUAUCAGUAGGGACACCAAUGGCGAAAGGCAGCUUGCUGGGCAAUGUAU
rnacentral:rRNA from 1 species